UGAGGAAUAUUGGUCAAUGGGCGAGAGCCUGAACCAGCCAAGUAGCGUGCAGGAUGACGGCCCUAUGGGUUGUAAACUGCUUUUAUAUGGGAAUAAAGUGAGGGACGUGUCCCUUAUUGCAUGUACCAUACGAAUAAGGACCGGCUAAUUCCGUGCCAGCAGCCGCGGUAAUACGGAAGGUCCAGGCGUUAUCCGGAUUUAUUGGGUUUAAAGGGAGCGUAGGCUGUUUGUUAAGCGUGUUGUGAAAUGUAGGAGCUCAACUUUUAGAUUGCAGCGCGAACUGGCAGACUUGAGUGCGCACAACGUAGGCGGAAUUCAUGGUGUAGCGGUGAAAUGCUUAGAUAUCAUGAAGAACUCCGAUUGCGAAGGCAGCUUACGGGAGUGUUACUGACGCUUAAGCUCGAAGGUGCGGGUAUCGAACAGG
rnacentral:rRNA from 1 species